GGCGGCGUGCCUAACACAUGCAAGUCGAACGAGAAAGUUGGCUUGGCCGAUGAGUAAAGUGGCGCACGGGUGAGUAACGCGUGGAUAAUCUGCCCUUUAGUUUGGAAUAACGUACCGAAAGGUGCGCUAAUACCGGAUAAUACUGAAUGACUACUGUCGUUUAGUCAAAGAAGGCUUCUGUUUACAUGCUUUUGCUGAAGGAUGAGUCCGCGUACCAUUAGCUAGUUGGUAGGGUAAUGGCCUACCAAGGCGACGAUGGUUAGCUGGUCUGAGAGGAUGAUCAGCCACACUGGAACUGAGACACGGUCCAGACUCCUACGGGAGGCAGCAGUGAGGAAUAUUGCGCAAUGGGGGCAACCCUGACGCAGCAACGCCGCGUGAGUGAGGAAGGUUUUCGGACCGUAAAGCUCUGUCGAGCGGGAAGAAAUGCAUGGUGGCUAAUAUCCAUCAUGCUUGACGGUACCGCUAAAGGAAGCACCGGCUAACUCCGUG
rnacentral:rRNA from 1 species